rnacentral:tRNA from 1 species
UUAGGAUCUGCUACGGAAGCAGUUGGGCCCAUACCCCAAAAACGGUGAUUUCACCUCCUAAUA